rnacentral:rRNA from 1 species
CAUAGGUUAAUGAGGCGAACCGGGGGAACUGAAACAUCUAAGUACCCCGAGGAAAAGAAAUCAACCGAGAUUCCCCCAGUAGCGGCGAGCGAACGGGGAGGAGCCCAGAGCCUGAAUCAGUGUGUGUGUUAGUGGAAGCGUCUGGAAAGGCGCGCGAUACAGGGUGACAGCCCCGUACACAAAAAUGCACAUACUGUGAGCUCGAUGAGUAGGGCGGGACACGUGGUAUCCUGUCUGAAUAUGGGGGGACCAUCCUCCAAGGCUAAAUACUCCUGACUGACCGAUAGUGAACCAGUACCGUGAGGGAAAGGCGAAAAGAACCCCGGCGAGGGGAGUGAAAAAGAACCUGAAACCGUGUACGUACAAGCAGUGGGAGCCUCUUAAUGGGGUGACUGCGUACCUUUUGUAUAAUGGGUCAGCGACUUAUAUUCUGUAGCAAGGUUAACCGAAUAGGGGAGCCGAAGGGAAACCGAGUCUUAACUGGGCGUUAAGUUGCAGGGUAUAGACCCGAAACCCGGUGAUCUAGCCAUGGGCAGGUUGAAGGUUGGGUAACACUAACUGGAGGACCGAACCGACUAAUGUUGAAAAAUUAGCGGAUGACUUGUGGCUGGGGGUGAAAGGCCAAUCAAACCGGGAGAUAGCUGGUUCUCCCCGAAAGCUAUUUAGGUAGCGCCUCGUGAAUUCAUCUCCGGGGGUAGAGCACUGUUUCGGCAAGGGGGUCAUCCCGACUUACCAACCCGAUGCAAACUGCGAAUACCGGAGAAUGUUAUCACGGGAGACACACGGCGGGUGCUAACGUCCGUCGUGAAGAGGGAAACAACCCAGACCGCCAGCUAAGGUCCCAAAGUCAUGGUUAAGUGGGAAACGAUGUGGGAAGGCCCAGACAGCCAGGAUGUUGGCUUAGAAGCAGCCAUCAUUUAAAGAAAGCGUAAUAGCUCACUGGUCGAGUCGGCCUGCGCGGAAGAUGUAACGGGGCUAAACCAUGCACCGAAGCUGCGGCAGCGACGCUUAUGCGUUGUUGGGUAGGGGAGCGUUCUGUAAGCCUGUGAAGGUGGCCUGUGAGGGUUGCUGGAGGUAUCAGAAGUGCGAAUGCUGACAUAAGUAACGAUAAAGCGGGUGAAAAGCCCGCUCGCCGGAAGACCAAGGGUUCCUGUCCAACGUUAAUCGGGGCAGGGUGAGUCGACCCCUAAGGCGAGGCCGAAAGGCGUAGUCGAUGGGAAACAGGUUAAUAUUCCUGUACUUGGUGUUACUGCGAAGGGGGGACGGAGAAGGCUAUGUUGGCCGGGCGACGGUUGUCCCGGUUUAAGCGUGUAGGCUGGUUUUCCAGGCAAAUCCGGAAAAUCAAGGCUGAGGCGUGAUGACGAGGCACUACGGUGCUGAAGCGACAAAUGCCCUGCUUCCAGGAAAAGCCUCUAAGCAUCAGGUAACAUUAAAUCGUACCCCAAACCGACACAGGUGGUCAGGUAGAGAAUACCAAGGCGCUUGAGAGAACUCGGGUGAAGGAACUAGGCAAAAUGGUGCCGUAACUUCGGGAGAAGGCACGCUGAUAUGUAGGUGAAGCGACUUGCUCGUGGAGCUGAAAUCAGUCGAAGAUACCAGCUGGCUGCAACUGUUUAUUAAAAACACAGCACUGUGCAAACACGAAAGUGGACGUAUACGGUGUGACGCCUGCCCGGUGCCGGAAGGUUAAUUGAUGGGGUUAGCGGUAACGCGAAGCUCUUGAUCGAAGCCCCGGUAAACGGCGGCCGUAACUAUAACGGUCCUAAGGUAGCGAAAUUCCUUGUCGGGUAAGUUCCGACCUGCACGAAUGGCGUAAUGAUGGCCAGGCUGUCUCCACCCGAGACUCAGUGAAAUUGAACUCGCUGUGAAGAUGCAGUGUACCCGCGGCAAGACGGAAAGACCCCGUGAACCUUUACUAUAGCUUGACACUGAACAUUGAGCCUUGAUGUGUAGGAUAGGUGGGAGGCUUUGAAGUGUGGACGCCAGUCUGCAUGGAGCCGACCUUGAAAUACCACCCUUUAAUGUUUGAUGUUCUAACGUGGGCCCCUUACCGGGGUUGCGGACAGUGUCUGGUGGGUAGUUUGACUGGGGCGGUCUCCUCCUAAAGAGUAACGGAGGAGCACGAAGGUUGGCUAAUCCUGGUCGGACAUCAGGAGGUUAGUGCAAUGGCAUAAGCCAGCUUGACUGCGAGCGUGACGGCGCGAGCAGGUGCGAAAGCAGGUCAUAGUGAUCCGGUGGUUCUGAAUGGAAGGGCCAUCGCUCAACGGAUAAAAGGUACUCCGGGGAUAACAGGCUGAUACCGCCCAAGAGUUCAUAUCGACGGCGGUGUUUGGCACCUCGAUGUCGGCUCAUCACAUCCUGGGGCUGAAGUAGGUCCCAAGGGUAUGGCUGUUCGCCAUUUAAAGUGGUACGCGAGCUGGGUUUAGAACGUCGUGAGACAGUUCGGUCCCUAUCUGCCGUGGGCGCUGGAGAACUGAGGGGGGCUGCUCCUAGUACGAGAGGACCGGAGUGGACGCAUCACUGGUGUUCGGGUUGUCAUGCCAAUGGCACUGCCCGGUAGCUAAAUGCGGAAGAGAUAAGUGCUGAAAGCAUCUAAGCACGAAACUUGCCCCGAGAUGAGUUCUCCCUGACUCCUUGAGAGUCCUGAAGGAACGUUGAAGACGACGACGUUGAUAGGCCGGGUGUGUAAG